ensembl:lncRNA
GAGCCAACACAGCAGGCCAGUGAUCCUAAGAAAUUAACCUCCCUUCGUCCCUCCCAUUCUCUCCCCUUCCCUCCCUCUGCAGGUGUUUACUAUGCCAGGUUCUGGGAUACAGAGCGAGCCAGGCCUGGUAACUGCCGUCGUGAAGCUCACGGUCUAAUAUGGCAACUCAGCCAAGAGCUGAUAGUUUUCUCUGCUGUCUCACUGUAACUCCUUGCCAGGCAUGUACCUUCAAUUUAUGGAAGGAUAACAGACCUUUUCCAGGUCCUUUAGGUAACCCAGAGUGACAACUUUGCACAGAGAAAUAGCCCAUUAGCAACACGGCAGAGUGAAAAGCACAUGGCAUCAGAGGGUCAGAGAAGUGACCAAAAGUCCUCAGCUGGGGUCCCAGCCUGGCCAGUCUGCAUUCGUGUGUCUUGGGGUGGAAAAAAGGGUGAUAUAAUCAUCUACCUCUCUCAUCGUUGUCAGAAGUGUGGAACCAGAAAGUGCAUGUACAUAAUCAUUUGCAUUGUAAGAGCUUGGAAAAAAGGUAGCAACUGAUGGAAAUGAACAAAUAUUUGCUGCACAUGGGAUCUUCAGCCUUCAUUGCAGCAUACGGGAGCAGCAUGUGGGAGCUAGUUCCCUGACCGCGGAUUGAACCCAGGCCCCCUGCAUUGGGAAUGUGGGGUCGAAGCCCCUGAAUCACCAGAGAAGUCAGUAGAAGAGAGUUUUGCCACCUUGUACUGAAUAAAUGGGAAUCACUGGUCUAGUUUGAAUAUUUAAAUGGGAGCCCAGCAGAGAUUCUCAGGAAGGGGACGGUGUCAUCUGUGGAGGAAUAGCAUUCUCAAAGAUCUCUCGCAAAGUCACAGAGUAUGAACUCUCCACCAGCUCUUGGCCCUUUCCACGGAGCUCAGGCCCAGAUGCUGGAAAACAGGAGCCCUCUGCCAAGGGUUUAGCUACAUCAAAUCAGCUCAACCCGAAGGACUGCAGAGGGCAAACCUGAAAAACGCCCAGAACACAUUCUUCUGCUGCCUGUUUGUUCUGUUUCUUUCCCACAAGAAACAGUUGUUCUUAUGAACUGGAUACAAGUCUCACCCACAAGAAGAAUCGAUAACCUUAAAAAACCUGGGGAAAAUAAAACCACCCUGGCUUGGGGCAUCAUGACCCAGGAUUCUGAUUUGGCUUUUUUUUUUUUCCUUUUCCUUCUCAAAGAUAACAAAUAAAUUAAUGCGGAAAGCCACAUCCAUAUUGGAAAGGCUUGUCUCUUUUUCCACAUACCCUCAGCGAUAUCGAGGGCUUUGUGAUAAAUAAGUUUGUCAGGAGUUCUUUUCAGGAAACUCAACCACAAUUUUAGUCUUGUCUAUUCAACACAUUGUUCAGAAAUGUUUUGGUAACCUUUAAAGUCCUACUCUAGGAGAGAGUUUCCCAUACCCUUCAAUUAAGUUUUUUCCUAUUUUGAAGGUCAUUAAGACUUUGGAAGAUAUUCUUAUACGUGACUUUGAGUCAUGAGUCCGUGUCCUCAGCUGAAGAGGCAGGAAGGUCCACGCUUGUGAGGAAACGUUCCACCAAACUGUGCUGUUCCAGGGCCUCGCUGGUCAGGAAGGGGAGCCUGGGGGUGUUGGACACAGCUGCCUACUAGCAAGGGCUCACUGAUGAGGGGGGGCUUCAUCUGCUGUGGUCGAUGCCAGGGUGUGACCAGACCUAAAGUAAUGAGGGUGGGGGACCCAUUCCAUGGGAAGGUUAUGAGAAACUCUGAAGGGGAGGGGCUUGAUCCUCCCACUCCACGGAAACCUGGUUGUAACAGGGACUCAGGUAUUUGUACACCUACGUUCACAGUAGUGUUAUUUACAGUAGAAACAGAAGCAAUCCACGUGACCUUGAAUGGAUAAACAAAAUGUGCUAUAAAACCCUAAAUAUUCAUUGGAAGGACUGAUGCUGAGGCUCCAAUACUUUGGCCACCUGAUAC